UGUGUGUUUUCAAAUUGUGCCGUGCUUGUCCGGGUUUCGCGACGCUCGAACGCCGUUUACUUUCACAGUCCGUUCGUUGUCGACGAAACCUGCAUAUCGCACGGUCACUCUCUACAUUUCCCCC
rnacentral:pre_miRNA from 11 species